GUUUUUACUUAAUUGAUAAUGAAUAGUAUGAAACCAUGUAUGCCCGGCGGCUCUCUUAUCAUGUGCUAAUUGCUGACGGCUAAUUUGGUGAUCCCUCUCUGGCAGUUGUCUCGCUGAUGAUCCUGGCAGCUAAUCACAAGAUUUCUGAGCUACUAACUAUUGAACCUCAUGUGUCAUCUCUCCGCUGAAUUCAGAAUCAGUUUACUUUCCCUCACCCUUUCCCAAUUUGCAUCCUCUAGGCUUCAAAGAGAACCCCUUGAUCAAUUUUGAGGAGAAAACGAUUUGAUUAAUCCCUCUUAAUGUUUAUUUCUUUUUAUACAAUGCUAAUUAACUACUAACUAUUGAGUCCAAUAGGGGCUUUUGUACAAUCUCUUCUCAAUCUUAAGUUUGAAACCCUUCAUCAAAAAAAAAAACUGAGCUACAUGGUUCUGGACUAAUUACUCUUCUCACCUUUUUUUUUUUUUAGGAUUACUUCUCACUCCCAGACCAUUAUU